rnacentral:rRNA from 1 species
UACGUAGGGGGCUAGCGUUGUCCGGAAUCAUUGGGCGUAAAGCGCGUGUAGGCGGUUCGGUAAGUCCGCUGUGAAAGUCGGGGGCUCAACCCUCGAAUGCCGGUGGAUACUGUCGGGCUAGAGUGCGGAAGAGGCGAGUGGAAUUCCUGGUGUAGCGGUGAAAUGCGCAGAUAUCAGGAGGAACACCAAUUGCGAAGGCAGCUCGCUGGGACGCUACUGACGCUGAGGAGCGAAAGCGUGGGGAGCGAACAGG